rnacentral:rRNA from 1 species
CUGCUGCCUUCCGUAGGAGUCUGGGCCGUGUCUCAGUCCCAAUGUGGCCGUCCACCCUCCUCAGGCCGGCUACUGAUCGUCGGCUUGGUGAGCCGUUACCUCACCAACUACCUAAUCAGACGCGGGUCCAUCUUACACCACCUCAGUUUUUACCUCUGUACCAUGCGGUACCGGGGGUCUUAUGCGGUAUUAGCAGUCAUUUCUAACUGUUAUCCCCCUGUGUAAGGCAGGUUACCCACGCGUUACUCACCCGUCCGCCG